rnacentral:rRNA from 1 species
CUACGGGGCGCAGCAGUGGGGAAUAUUGCACAAUGGGCGCAAGCCUGAUGCAGCCAUGCCGCGUGUAUGAAGAAGGCCUUCGGGUUGUAAAGUACUUUCAGCGGGGAGGAAGGGAGUAAAGUUAAUACCUUUGCUCAUUGACGUUACCCGCAGAAGAAGCACCGGCUAACUCCGUGCCAGCAGCCGCGGUAAUACGGAGGGUGCAAGCGUUAAUCGGAAUUACUGGGCGUAAAGCGCACGCAGGCGGUUUGUUAAGUCAGAUGUGAAAUCCCCGGGCUCAACCUGGGAACUGCAUCUGAUACUGGCAAGCUUGAGUCUCGUAGGGGGGGGUAGAAUUCCAGGUGUAGCGGUGAAAUGCGUAGAGAUCGGGAGGAAUACCGGUGGCGAAGGCGGCCCCCUGGACGAAGACUGACGCUCAGGUGCGAAAGCGUGGGGAGCAAACAGGAUUAGAUACCCGCGUAGUC